AAUAAACGCGACUCCGCCUUGCCACGCCCUCUGCGUCCAGUGGAAGUUCCAGUCCCGGUUCCGGUAUUCCAAUGUUUUCCAGACCAAAAGCUUCCAACGCCAUCGAACAACAUAUAAAAAACAGCUGCAAUGCUCCAUUCCCACGCGCUGAGAUAAAAGAACCCAACGCAGCCAGCCGCCCAAUGCAUACUAAUGAGCGGAGGAGCCCGGGAGUCACGUAGCCAGAAGUAAGGGAAAGCCAAAAAGGACCUCAUACCAUCCCUUAAAGCGGCGAAGAGCGGUGGCUCUAAUUAAGACAGGCCUGGUCUGGAAAGUCUGGAUGGUCUGGUCUGGGCCAAAAUUAAUGGAACCCACGAGUGGUGGAGCGUUUUCGGUGUUCACACAAAUUAAAUUCCAUCAAGUUUAUUUGCUGUAAAUGAGAGGCAGUGUGGCAGAAGAGGAGUGGAGUGGAGUGGAAGUGCUGGCCUUAAUUUAAUUUCCCCACCCUUAACCCUUUGUGCCCCGUUAGCACGUGUUGCCAUGUUACCAUCUACCAUUUACCACUUAGAAGCGAAAGAAUAGGCCUACAGACACCUACACUUGAACACACAGAUGCUAAAUCAGAUUCGUUCGAUUUAUAUUCGUUAGAUUUUCCAUGUAAAUAGUCAUUAUAAUUAUUAUUGUGGUCUACGUUGGCCUUUGCGUCAGGCAAUGUCAGCGGUAAACCUUGAAAAGCGGAAAAAUUGUAAACAUAAAUCUAAUAUUUAUUACGAAAUUUCAUAAUUGUGCAUCUCGCAAAUGCUAUGAUUAAAAAAUAUUAAAAAAAUGAGACGAACGAGCGGAGGGCAAAUCUAUUAAUUAGUAAUUAUUAUAAUGUGAUGUUAUAUAUAUAAAUCAAUCGAUAAACAAGAAACCUAAAGCAAAUUAAACCGAAAAAAUGAAAUAUACAAAACUGUUAACCAACGUAACAAAUUUCACUAAGUAGAUUUUUCGAAUUAAAUUUAAAUUAUAAUAAUUAAACAAAUAUAGCAAGAAAAAGAGAAAACAAAAUAACUUUGCUGUAUACACGAGAUAAAACUGCGUUUUUCUACUAAAAAUGAAUAUGUAAAAUGAUUUUUCGGACUUAGAUUACCCCAUAUACCUAAUUAUAUAAAAACAAAUUAUACAUAUAUAAAUUACAAAUUCUAUGUAAAUGUUGUGCGUAUAUAAAAGCAAAAGCGUAGAACCCCAUUUUCGAGAUCUUUUAGUUAUUUAUUAUGUGUGUGCUAUAUCUUCAUCUAUGUAAACAUAAAAAGAGCGCUUUGCUUCGUCUAGGAAACAUUUUGGGCCUUAAACCAACCCUACUCAAGCCUGGGCCUUGGUGUUCUUCUUGUUACCCAGCAUUCUUCAGAUCAAUAUAUCUAUAUACCCCUGGGGAGGGGGGCAACCCACACACUAAUGGUUAUUCUAUAUCUACGUAAAUGUGUUCGUUUCUAAACUUGUAUAAAAGCACGUCCCCCUCUCCGCUCAAACACGAAAAGUUUGUAAAAUAUUGACAGAGAGCAAGAACGAAGGAAGAUACGAAAUUAUCUUAUAAUAUUAAUACUAUUUCCGGGAAUAAAAGAAGAAAACAUUUAGUUUUUCUACUUGAAUCGCAUUUCUUCCACUUUUCACCAAUCAAAACAAAUUUAAAUGAGAAAUUUAUACGAAGAAUUGAAUUUUGAGUAUCUUCAAACCUCAAGCUCAAAACAAACCCCUUAAAAAUUAAAAAUAAAAAAAUAAUAAGGAAGUUUCUAGGUUCUAUUAUUUAGUUAUCUUGUUAUUUAUAUGUUUAGCUUUAAUUUUUGUCUAAUAUAUUUUUAAGUUUUGGCUCCGCAAUAAAUACAGACAAUUAUAUAUAUUUUUUCUAUAAUUUGUUUCAUUUUGUCAUUAUUGAUUCGUGGACGAAUAAAAAAGAAAAUAAAACCAAAAAAAUGGAUAACAAAUGAAUUGCUAAAUUUAAGCGCAAAAGUUCAAUUAAUAAAAAUUAGAAUUUUAAAAUUAACAUAAUUUGGACUAUUUAUAUAUACAUACGCAUAUAUAUACAAAUCUAUAUAUGAAUAAUUAGUAACAAAUCAAAUCAAUUUCCAUAACAACCGCCAGAGAAAAAACCAAAAAAAUAUAUAUAUUCUUAGUGACGAGAGUGCAACAAGACACACUCGUGCAAUUGUACUUUAAAAUUGAAUAAAAUUCAAAAAGAAAAAAACAAUGAACAGUGAAGGUGGAUAAUGAACGAGCGGAAUGGUAUAUGAAGCAUCACAUGCAACUCUGACUUGCAUAGGGUUGCCACCGUCAACUUGCAGGCAGCCUUUAGAAGAGGAAAGCAACCGUCGAAACACAAGCAGACUCACUCACACACAAGGCUUGAGAUCAGGAGAGCGAAAGGGAUAGAUAGAAGUAGCUUCAGCGAGUUUUUGUUUUUGGUGGAUGUGUCGUGCAUUGGGAGCAGCAAUUGCAACAAUAAUUCCAGGCAUAUCGAAGCAUUUUUACUCAGCACUCAGACGACAGCAAUCAGCGAAAUCGGCAACCAAAACUGAUGGCAAUAACAAGCAAAGAUAAACAAUUCGGGAUCAGAGAGCGAAGACAAACAGGAUGAAGAAGCAACCACCACACACACAGAGAUACUACACACACAAACACAAUAAAGGACGAAAGCGAACAAAUAAAUACUUAACGGGAUUCACAUAUGUAUAUUCAAGAAGCAAUAAUGAAAGUAUAUUUCCAAGUAUGAUAAAAAAAACAACCAAGAAAGUCAAGAACUAACAUGAAUAAAAAAUAUUUAUACAUAUAUUUUAAUUAUAGUUACAAAUUAGCAUAUAUAAAAUAUACAUACAUACAAACAUAUAUACCGAAGAUAGUCCAAAUAAUUUAGCGAAGAAUGAAAACCAAACGAAGUAAAGUUUAAUAUUUACAAAAUAUUAAAAUAUCAAUGUGCAAUUUAACAAGCGUUUAAAACACCACACUGACACAGCCACACAAAAUUAAUGCUACACCUAUAUAUACACACAUAUGUAAACCGAUUAUAAACAUUAUAUAUGCGUAUAUAACAAGUCGAUACGAAAUAACGAUCCAUUUAAAAGCGAGUGAAGGCGAGCGACAAACUUUAGUGGCGAAAUAAGAAACAAUUUAGUUUUGUGUGCACACACCACAGUAAAACCUACUUAAAAGGAAAUCAAAAUUCAACUAACAAAACCACACGAAACGAAGCCGUGCUAAAAAUGCUACAGAAGGCGGUUCAAGUCAAGUUUUUGAGCAAAUACUCAUAAUUGUUAAAAAUGUUUAAAUAAUAUAAUAACAAAAGCAAAAAAAAAAAACAAAUUAAUUAAAAACAAACAAAAAUCCGUAACAAAAACAAAUUGCAUAUUAUCAUAUAUUUUCUCUCUCCUUAGACAAUUUAGUUAAUUAUGAAAAAUAAUGAAAAACAAACAUUAUACCUAAGUGUUAGUCUUAUAUAUAAAUAAAUAUAUGAUUAAUAAUUAAAAAAAGAUAAAAGCAGAAAAAGAAAUUCAUGGAACAGCAGCCGACGAAAGAAAUGUGAAGAAAGCACAGUAACAGCAAAAAAAAAAGUGAAAACAAAUUAAAAA